rnacentral:tRNA from 1 species
GCGGGAUUGGUGACGGUGCGUGUCACCCCCUGUCACGGCUUGAUUUUCAGACUACGAAUCUGAGGGUCGGACGUUCGAAUCGUUCCGGGCGCGCCA